UAGCUGUGCUUCCCUCAUAGUACAGGACCUCAUAUAGCUCGUCCUCAGAAUCACCUCAGAUUCAAUUCACGCAAUAAACAUAUUUCGGUCACAUCACUUCAGAGAAACGGGGGCCUCUACACGAGCUUCAUUUGGACACACCCCCUUUACUUGACACAGUUCUCGGGGCUUCAGGGUCAGAUGUAACAUCAUUAGGUCGUGCCAUGCCUGCCACACAGCAGGAUAUGACAGAAUGACGCGACCACACCAUGGACCCAGUGGACGCAACUCGGCAUUCAGGACUGCCUCCUGAAGUGUCGCGUCUUCGUUGCCAGCCUCCAACCCCGUCACCGGAGGAUUGUUGAUGCCGCCUUCAGUCUCCAGUGCUGUCACCUAAAGGUCUUCUUCAUCUCUGUCAACCUCCACCCACUCUGCCUCCACUGUGGGUGGCCUCCUGAUCUGCUCUGCUUCACCCAUCGGUCACAUGGUCACCCUCCAGAACUGAUCCAUGCCACUGGGGAGCCCAACAAGAAUCCCAAAGGGCGUGUGGCUCAACGUGAUGAUUCUGACCGCAAUUCUUUUAAAAAGUUUUUCUUUUACUUUUAAAAAGAACUUUGCGAUUUAUCUGUGAUGUCUUAUGUCAUAUUUUUAAUGUCUUGCUAACUGUUGCUAGAGAUGGUGAAAAUAUCUCUGCCGUUGUUACUUUCCUAUAUUUCUGUUGUUUCUGGUUGUUUUAAAAAAAAUUGAGAAUAGCAACACUGAUUUAUUUUCACAUUUUGCUUUACUGUUGCAAAAUGAAAAAUAGUCUAGCAUUAAUUAUCCAAAAUGUCCCUGAUACAAUUAAAUGAAUAGAAAUACAAACUUUUUUUGUUCCUAAUUAAGCUUAAUACAUGUCUCUAUCUGUGAAAGCAGAAGAGGAACAGAUGCAGAAUUAGCAGUAGCUGUUCUUUUUCGACAGACAUUUCCUGCAAUAACUGUUCAAAGAGCCUCUUCUCUGUCGUUGGUACAUAAUAUGUGUUAAAAUUCAACAUUUGUCCCUCAUAUCCAUGAGGCUUGAGCUACAGUCAUUUGCAUUGCUUGCAAUGUCAAUAAUGUGGUCCACCCACCAGCUAUGAAUAAAUUUACCUACCCAAACUGGCUCAUUAUAAAAUCAAGGACACCAAGUAGACGCAGUAUCGCACAUGUAGCCGCUAUGUGGCUGUUAGCUGACCUGGUGCCUUUGAGCUGACUGCACUCAUAUUCCACAGGCAUCCUGGAUGAACCCUUUGAUCAUAUGAUCUCUUCUAUGGAAUAUUAGCCAGCUCACCCUGAGGCAUAUAGUUUUAAAUCUAAGA